rnacentral:rRNA from 1 species
CAGUAGGGUGCCAUCAAGAGGUGUAUUUGGAAAU